rnacentral:lncRNA from 1 species
CAGAAGCUCUGAUAGAAAAAUAACCUCUGGUAAUAAUAUAUAAAGCUGAUUUUUUAUUAUACCUGAUGUAUAGAUGACUCAAACAAAGAUAAAAUUCUUGGUCUGGACAAAACAAUCUUUUUUGUCAUUGUUGGCGCCGCUGUUGUGUUUAUCUUGAUGAUCAGUGUCGCAAUCUACCUUCGUAUAAAACGACACCGAACCCACGGGGAGGCCAAAUUCAAGACGAGAAUACUUAACACAAGCGACAAAAAGUCCCAGGGAAUUGCAUUCCAGCCAACUGAUCAAGGUAGUGGCGAAGAGAUAGAUCUGAAAGUGUUUGAUAACGAGGCUAUUCGUCUUGAAGACAAAAUCAAAAUAGAGCCUUGAUCUUCCAAGUUCUUUUUUUCUUUUUGCUAUACUGCGAUUUGCAGUUGAGCUUAGAGACAAGAAGUUUUGACGUGCAGUUUGAUCGUUGAAACGCACAAGUCACCAAGGAUGUUGUAAUGGGAGAUUUAGGCACUUUCGGCCAAUCGGGCAACGCCUUCUUCACUAUGAUUGGCCGAAAGUGUCUAAAUCUCCCAUGACAACAUUCGCAUUUCCGCUUGACAACAUUUGAAUUUGCCCUUGGUAACUUGUACGUUUCAACGAUCAAACUGCACGGUAAAACUUACUGUCUCUAAGCUCAACUGCAAAUCGCAGUAUGAAAGUUUGUGAUUUAAACCUUGAUUUCCAACUUUAACUUGAUAAACAGUAAAUGAUGCAAAAACAGGGCUCGCAUAAUCGUUGGGAGAUUGAUUAGUUAUACUCGGUGAUGUUUGGCUAAAGGCUUCCAGCACUGAAUUUUCAUGGAAUUUUAAUAAUUCCAACUAGAAUAAUAUUUAGACUAUUUACAACUAUUCAAUUGACAUAAAACUUAUAAGAAAGAAAAGUUUAAUAACUGUCAUACAACUCUUUUGGAAGAAUAGAAACUAUACUGAAUGAGUUUAAAACAUACCCACAAACCAUUUCCCAUUAUAUUUGCAUGCGAGCUCUUGAUAAUGAAGAUUUGGGCGUUAUUUUUUGUGUGCAAGUUAGAGUAACUGAAGUUGUAUAUAAUACUAAACCGUAUUAUCACAUCGUAAUUAUUAUAUGUUAAAAUAUUUAAAUGUAAAAACUUUGAAGGUCUUAUAGAAGUAGUUUAAGGUUGGAUUUAAGAAAUCUAUACCUUACAGUGAUUUGAUGCAUGGUGAUGGACUGUAAAUUUAUUAUUUCAUCUUAAUAGAAUCACUAUAAUCGUAAAGUUUGUAUCAUAGUUUUAGUAUUUCAAUUCAUAUAUAACCUCAACAUCUGUUAAUUAAACACAAUGAUGAAAUACAAUAAAAGCUAGCAUAUAUGCAAUUAUCCUC